GUGGCAUCAAUUCAUGUGAGAACAUCCCUUUAGUUUAAGGAUGUAAUUAAGUGGAGGAUAAGAAACUUAUAACAAUUCCCCUAGUAGCAGCAAGCGAACCAAAAAGAGUCCAUCAUGAAAAUUGUGCAGUAGCGUUGCCUAAAUUGUAGUCUGUAGAAGCAUCCUUAGUGAGGGACCUAGGCCAAGUCCCUUGCAAGGGGGUGCCUAACAAGGUGAUAGCCAUGUCAGGCUGGGACCCUGCAAGAUCACAAGGCAUCGUCGGCGAGUCAAGGUAUUUGGGAGUGCAUCCCUAAUUGGGUGGUAAAUUUUGUCCAAGGCUAAAUACGGGUGAGAGACAGAUAACGAACAAUUACCACCAAGGAAAGAUGAAAAUGACUUUGAAAAGAGAGUUAAAGAGUGCUUGAAAUUAUUGAGAGGGAAGCCGAUGGAGGCUUUGGAUGUGUCUUGGUCAGACAUGGAAUGGCUUAGGCUGGCCCGCCGCUCAACUUGAGAUGCAAACCAACAUGGGCUACCACAUCGUCACAAGCACGGGUGGAUUACUAGCUGUCGGUUUUCCAUUGCAGUGGACGAGGAAUGAAUCGUGCACCCUUGUGGCAGGCUGUGUGCACCUGUGCACUCAUAUUGUUGGUUGGCAGGAAUUCCAUUCGACCCAUAUUGAAACACAGACCAAGGAGUCCAACAUGUGUGUGAGUCAGCUAGUUUGAAAACCUAUGAGGCACAAGGAAGCUAACAAGAAAUAUCCCCUCUCUGGGGGGUUGCAUUAUCGAUUGACCUUGAGCUUAUGCGAAGGGUUCGAGUGCGAGCACACCUGUUGGGACCUGAAAUAUGGUGAACUAUGCCUGAGUAGGGCAAAGCCAAAGAAAACUAUAGUGGAGGCUUAUAGUGAUAUUGACGCACAAAUCUUUCAUCUAACUUGGGUAUAGGGGCGAAAGACUAAUCGAACCAUCUAGUAGCUGGUUUCCUCCAAAGUUUCCCUCAAGUUAGAUGGAACUCACGCAUGACUUUUAUCAGGUAAAGAAAAUUAUUAGAGGCAUCGGGGGUGUAACACCCUUGACUUAUUCUCAAACUUUAAAUACGUAGGAGGGUGUAGCUACUCCAUUGAGCGAUGCCAUGGAAUCGAGAGCUCCAAGUGGGCAAUUUUUGGUAAGCAGAACUAGCGAUGUGGGAUGAACCAAAAGUAUAGUUACGGUGCUGAAUUGCAUGCUAACCUAGAUCCCACAAAGGGUUUUGGUUGAUUAAGACAAUAGUACGGUGGUCGUGGAAUUCAAAAUUCACUAAGGAGUGUGUAACAACUUACCUACCAAAUCUGGAAGACCGAGUACCAUUCAUGCCUAGUUGUACUCAUAAUCGCAUUAGGUCUCCAAGGUGAAAAACCUUUGGUCAGUAAAACAAUGUAGGUAAGAGAAGUUGGAAAAAUGAAUCCGUAACUUCGGGAAAAGGAUUGGCUCUGAGGAUUAAAUCAUGGGCUAUCUACAAUCUACCCAAGCUGCUCUCAUGGUGAGGGUGGGCAGUCGCAUGCCGAUUGGGCUACAGGUGUAGAAUGCCCCCUACCGGGGGCUUUUCCCUAGGUGGAGAACUGUCGACUCAUAACUAAUAUCGAAAAGGGGAAUAUGAUUUUUUAAUUAAAACAAAGCAUUUAAAUGGUCUCUAUGGAUGCUGACACAAUGUGAUUUCUGCCCAGUGCUCUAAAUUUCAAAGUGAAGAAAUUCAACCAAGUGCAGGUAAACGAUGGGAGUAACUAUGACCCUCUCAAGGUAGCCUAAUGCCUCUUCAUCUAAUUAGUGAUAUGUAUGAAUGGAUUAACGAGAUUACCAUUGUCCCUAUCUACAAUCUAGUGAAACCACAACCAAGGGAAUGGGCUUGGUAGAAUCAGCGAGGAAAGAAGACCCCUUUGAGCUUGACUAUAGUCCGACUUUGUGAAAUGAUUUGAGAGGCGUAGAAUAAGUGGGAGCCAUUUUCAGCGCAAGUGAAACUCCACUACAUUUAACGUUAUUUUACUUAUUUUGUGGGGUGGUGAUGGGGCACUACCUUUUUUUUGGCCUUAAGGCACAUUUUGGUUGGUCGAUCCGGGUGGAAGACAUUGUUAGGUGGCGAGUUUGGCUGGGGUGGCACAUCUGUUAAAAGAUAACGUAGGUGUCCUAAGAUGAGCUCAACGAGAACAUAAAUCCUAUGUGGAAUAAAAGGGUAAUAUCUCAUUUGGUUUUGAUAUUUAGUAUGAAUGAAAACUGUGAAAGCAUGGCUUACUGAUCCCUUAGAUUUUCAUAAUUUGAAGCUAGAGGUGUCAGAAAAGUUACUACAUGGAUAACUAGGUUGUGGAAGCCAAGCAUUCAUAGGGACGUUGUUUUAUGAUCCUUCGAUGUCGGCUCUUCCUAUCAUUGUGAAGCAGAAUUCACCAAGUGUUGGAUUGUUCACCCACAAAUAGGGAACAUGACCUAGGCUUAGACCAUCAUGAGACAAGUUAGUUUUACCCUACUGAUAAACCACACCACAAUAGUAAUUCAAAUUAGUACAAGAGGAACUGUUGAUUCACGUAAGUGGUCAUCACGCUUGCUUGAAAAUCCAGUGGUGCGUAGCUACCGUGUGUCGGAUUAUGAUUAAAUGCAUAUAAGUCAAAAUCCAUGCUAGAAGCAGUGCAUGUCACUCUUCGACUGUAUCUUGACCUGCAGUAGAGGCGUCACUUUGUUGCCCCCAAGGGCCCGUGUCAUUUGCAAACCACAACCAUGAAGGAUAUUGGUCAGGGGAGCUUUGAAGUUUAAUUUCAAACUGGCGUUGAGAAGAAUCCUUUAUAGACAACUUAAAUACGUGACGGGAUAUUGUAAGUGGCAGAGUGGCCUUGUUGCCAUGAUCCAUUGAGAUUCAACCCUUGGU
rnacentral:rRNA from 1 species